UACAGAGAGUGCGACCGUUGUUCGGAAUUACUGGGCUUAAAGCGCACGUAGGCGGCAUCGUAAGUGUCCGGUGAAAUCCCACGGCUCACCCGUGGAACUGCCUGGCAGACUGCGAUGCUCGAGUGUGGUAGGGGAGAGCGGAACUCCUGGUGGAGCGGUGAAAUGCGUAGAUAUCAGGAGGAACACCGGUGGCGAAGGCGGCUCUCUGGUCCACAACUGACGCUGAGGUGCGAAAGCUAGGGGAGCAAACGGG
rnacentral:rRNA from 1 species